AUUGAACGCUGGCGGCAGGCCUAACACAUGCAAGUCGAACGAGUGGCGGACGGGUGAGUAAUGUCUGGGAAACUGCCCGAUGGAGGGGGAUAACUCCUGGAAACGGUAGCUAAUACCGCAUACCAUCGGAUGUGCCCAGAUGGGAUUAGCUAGUAGGUGGGGUAACGGCUCACCUAGGCGACGAUCCCUAGCUGGUCUGAGAGGAUGACACCCCCCACUGGAACUGAGACACUGUCCAGACUCCUCCACCACCACUCCUUUUCUAAUAUUGCACAAUGUGCGCAAGCCUGAGCCAGCCAUGCCGCGUGUAUGAAGAACACCUUCGGGUUUUAAAGUACUUUCAGCGAGGAGGCGUUACUCGCAGAAGAAGCACCGGCUAACUCCGUGCCAGCAGCCGCGGUAAUAC
rnacentral:rRNA from 1 species